AACGUAGGAGACAAACGUUAUCCGGAGUUACUGGGCGUAAAGGGCGUGUAGGUGGUUUCGUAAGUCUGGCGUGAAAUUUUUCGGCUUAACCGGGAAAGGUCGUCGGAUACUGCGGAGCUAGAGGACGGUAGAGGCGUGUGGAAUUCCGGGUGUAGUGGUGAAAUGCGUAGAGAUCCGGAGGAACACCAAAGGCGCAGGCAGUGUCCUGGGAAGUACCUGACGCUCAGGGACGAAAGCUAGGGGAGCGAACGGG
rnacentral:rRNA from 1 species